AUAGCGUGUCUUGCUCGCCAAACUCAUACAGUGGAUGUGAGAAGAGACUACUGUAUCACUGACAAUGAGGUUUGUUGUUGUCUGAAGGAGCGCUAUGAGUCUGUGGUGAAGAAGACCUUAGAGAAGUGCCAGAGGGCCAAACAGAGACUGAGCCAGGGCUCUCGAGGAAGGAAGACCAACAACAAGAGCGUUCCUCGCAGCUCUCCCCUGACUGCCUGGGAGAGGGCUCUGGUCUGUCGCCUCCUAACCCCUACAUGCUCCUACCUAGCCAGGAGAAGGAGUCAUAGUUGUCAGUCAAGAGAAGAGGAAGUUGUCCAUGUUUGUCCCCGUUCAGCUUCAUGCCACUCCAUAUCUGCCACUGCCACCAACUGUCAUAAAUCACCACACCGCUCUGGCACACCUGACCACCACCGGGUGCAGGCAGACUACCGCUCUGGCACACCUGACCACCACCGGGUGCAGGCAGACUACCGCUCUGGCACACCUGACCACCACCGGGUGCAGGCAGGCCUCCAGGCAGACUACCGCUCUGGCACACCUGACCACUACCGGGUGCAGGCAGGCCUCCAGGCAGACUACCGCUCUGGCACACCUGACCACUACCGGGUGCAGGCAGGCCUCCAGGCAGACUACCGCUCUGGCACACCUGACCACUACCGGGUGCAGGCAGGCCUCCAGGCAGACUACCGCUCUGGCACACCUGACCACCACCGAGCACAAUCGGACUUCCAGGCAAAUCUCCGGGCAGACUACCGGUCUAUCAUCUGGGCAAACUACCAGUUAAAAGCAGCACAGCAGAAGGAGAGUGAGAGGACGUUCAGGAGGAAUAGACAGCAGCCUCACAUACCCAAUGCUCCCGUGAAAGUGUUACCCACAAACAUACAGAGCAGAGAUGCAGUGCCCUUUCCAGAACGUAAACCUGUGAUCAGACACAAACCUGUGAUCAGACAGCCUCCAUCACAUCAGGUUGGGCUGGAACUGUACCCUGUUCCGGAGGAGGAUGGUCCUCCAGUCUCCAACCAAACCCUCUCCCCUGGGAACUCACGGCCCAGCCAGACCAUCUCUCCUUGGGCUCCAGUCUCCAAUCACACCCUCUCCCCUGGGAACUCACGGCCCAGCCAGACCAUCUCUCCUUGGGCUCCAGUCCCCAAUCAUACCCUCUCCCCCGGGAACUCACAACCAAUCAGCAUCUCAGAAGCAGCAUGGGACCAGGUCCAACCAUUCGUAGGCUCAGCAGAACCUCAGACAGUCCCCACACCUAGAACUGAGGGCGAUACAGGCCCCCUUCCUGGAGCCCCCUCCUGCACCAGGCCGUCUGCUGGCACCAUGGAUCCAGAGGAGGCCUCAUGUCUUCUGGCCGAGAAGAGAAGAGAGGCCCGUCUGAAGAGAGAGAGAGAGCAGGAGGAAUGCCUGCGCAGGGAGGAGAUAGAGAGGUACGGACAGAGGGCCACCUUACAUCUUCCCAUCUGUCUUCUACUGACCCAACAUUCAUCUUCCCAGUAG
rnacentral:lncRNA from 1 species